rnacentral:rRNA from 1 species
CCUACGGGAGGCUGCAGUGGGGAAUAUUGCACAAUGGGCGCAAGCCUGAUGCAGCCAUGCCGCGUGUGUGAAGAAGGCCUUCGGGUUGUAAAGCACUUUCAGCGGGGAGGAAGGCGGUGAGGUUAAUAACCUCAUCGAUUGACGUUACCCGCAGAAGAAGCACCGGCUAACUCCGUGCCAGCAGCCGCGGUAAUACGGAGGGUGCAAGCGUUAAUCGGAAUUACUGGGCGUAAAGCGCACGCAGGCGGUCUGUCAAGUCGGAUGUGAAAUCCCCGGGCUCAACCUGGGAACUGCAUUCGAAACUUGCAGGCUAGAGUCUUGUAGAGGGGGGUAGAAUUCCAGGUGUAGCGGUGAAAUGCGUAGAGGUCUGGAGGAAUACCGGUGGCGAAGGCGGCCCCCUGGACAAAGACUGACGCUCAGGUGCGAAAGCGUGGGGAGCAAACAGGAUUAGAUACCCGGGUAGUC